rnacentral:rRNA from 1 species
UACGGGGGGGGUAAGCGUUGUUCGGAAUUACUGGGCGUAAAGGGCUCGUAGGCGGCCACCUAAGUCGGACGUGAAAUCCCUCAGCUUAACUGGGGAACUGCGUCCGAUACUGGAUGGCUUGGAUUUGGGAGAGGGAUGCGGAAUUCCAGGUGUAGCGGUGAAAUGCGUAGAUAUCUGGAGGAACACCGGUGGCGAAGGCGGCAUCCUGGACCAAUAUUGACGCUGAGGAGCGAAAGCUAGGGGAGCAAACGAG